UUCGUUGUUGUUGAAAUUCGUUG
rnacentral:miRNA from 1 species